UGGCAGCCUCUGAUACUAAAGUAUAGUAUCAGAGGCUGCCACGAUUGUGGCAGCCUCUGAUACUAUACUUUAGUAUCAGAGGCU